ensembl:lncRNA
AAGCUUCUCUAAUUGACAAAAGGUCUGUAGGGAGUCAGCUAGACUGCACGCAGUUGAGGCAAGCAGGCUGUGGUCUGUGAUCUUGGAUGGUGGUUAGUUACUGAUGACUGUAUUAGGCAUUCUGAUGUCUGAAAGACAGCUGCAGUGUGCUUAGCUCUUAGCAGAGGGUUUUUUUUUUUUUUUUCCUUCUGCAGCAGUCAGACUUUCAGGGUACCAGGAACGAAGGGAAGCACUUAUUCACAAACUGUGUCAGCUUGCAAACUUUCGGUACAGUUCUUUCCUUUUCUCCACGAUGUGGGAACAAGAAGUGACUGAUGUCCCUUGGAGUUCGGGUGCUUGCCCCAGCUCCGGAGGACGGCACAGAUCCAGCACUACACCCUGGCAGUGCUGUUUUGACCUUAGGGCAACUCCUGUGCCAGAGGCUCUGCUGCUGAGCUCCUGGACUGGCUGCGGCCAGAGCACGUUUUGUCAGAAGGGUCCCAGGUUCUCAGUGGGAACAGAAGACAGAGGGUGGAUAAUGAGCAGAGCUGGAAGGUGAGAGUUGUUCUGUAGUUCAGCUCUCCCUUGGCCAAAUUCCUGCUCCUUCUUGAUGUGCCUGGUUCUUAUGUAGAGUCAGUCCUCAAUUUCCUUUCAAUUAGAGCUCCAUCCUACUUUUCUGUCCCUUGCAGUUUGUGGAGUUUUAUCGUCUCUCAAUUCUAUUUCAGCUGCGUUUUUUUUUCCUUUGCUUUCAUGACUCAGGACUUUUUUCCUCUUUUCCUCAUGCUAUGUCAUUUCUUCUGGCUGGAGCAGUGUCCUCCUUUUCUGAAAGGAAACAUCACUCCUGCAGGAGGAUUAAAGGAGAGUUUUAAAUAAAUUCCCAGGGAGUCUCAACCCUUUGCAAAAACUGGAAGAAAGUGGCAGUGAGUUUCAAUUAUUUGAGCUUUAUUUCUGCACAGUAUAAUGUAAUUCAUAAUGUUAUCAAUAUCUGUAAAAGCAGAAGAGACAGCUGCAGGAGUUACGAGAAAAACCAACUUAAUGAAAUCAAAAGCACAAUUUAACUUCAAAACACGUAGAAGGGGAGGAAGGGCCGGAGUGAGCAACACGAAUCAGAAUCACAAAUCAGAGCUAUUCUGGGAGAAAACAACUUUGGAAAGACUCAAAAGCGAAGCCAGAAGAUGGAGGAGGUCCCCCAAAGCAGCAAAAGGGAAGCUCGUCGAAGCCAGUUCUGGGUGGGUUGGGAGCUGAAGAGGUAGGGAAUGUUAAGGAAUUCUGAUUUAUAUUGUGUGAAGAAAGGGAAAAAAAAAUAAUCACAAACUUUCCUCUGGGUAAAGGGGAUCAGAGGAGCACAGUCAGUUGGACUGUAUUACGGAGACAGUGUUUAAAAAAUAAACAAACAGCCCUGCGGCUUUCUCAUCAAACCUCCUCUGCCUUCAGAUAACAGAAGUCCAAACUAUAAAUCUUAAAAAAUCUCCUUCGGUCAAAAUGUGGACAAAAUAAAGCCCAGGUUCUCCUUUAAAGUUAGUAAACGUGUCAGAGGUGAGAUCGCAGCACCUCUUCUCCUUUAAUGGAACGUGAUUAAAACCGUGGGGCUUCAUUUCCAUACUACUUGGAAAGCAAAUAAUGACAUAGAGAACAACAUCCGUAAGGUGCUGCGUGCUCCAUUCUUAGCACUGCGUUUCCUACCAGCUCCAGCUGCUAUUAGCAGGAUCAAGAUCUGGGUGACUUCUGUUUCCCCAGAAGGGAAAUGCUUCUGCUGCCAGUGGAGAGCAUCAGCCUGUGGCAUGAGCACAGUGCCUGGCAGGCUGAGAACGGUCUGCUUGAAGUAAAAGCAGAACUGCAUGAGAUUUUUGGACAUCGAUGAGAUAAUGACAAUUACAGCCAGGAAUUACACAGCAUUUGUUUCUUUUGUCACAGGGAUGACUCCAUUGUUUGCCCCGAAAACUGUUUUCAGGUUAUUAGAAUCUGUGUAACUUCGAGCAUGUUGCUUUUUGAGUUUAUUUCGUUGACUGAAAUGAUAAUUUGCAUCAGUUCUCGUGUGUGGGAAUCACUGCUUCAUUGCAUAAUAAAACUGUUUCCUUAAACAUUCUGCCUAAGGACUGUACAGCGUUAUGGGUUGUUACAGCUGAAAUAAGGAGCGCUGCUUCUGGUUUAAAAAGACUCGAGAUGUGAUGAAGUGAACGCAUCUUUCCUUGCAGCUGGUGAGACAAAGGCUGCUGCUUUGUGUUCCCAGUUGGCUGAAACCACAGAUGAAACUGGAUUUUUGAUUGGAUCGGUAUUUCAGGUUAUUCCUGAUUGAGAUUUACUUGGACCUAGCAGUAACUCCUUAUUUUCUUUUGCUAGUGAAAUAUUAGGCACUUAAGACUAACGCAUGUUACUAAUAUUAGGGCAUUCGAGACCUUUCUUCCAAGUCAGAUAAGCAGAUCCUUGGUUUGUCUUUCCAAAGCCCAGGUGUUUAAUUUGGCUGUUGUAUUGCCGCAGUGCCACCUCAGUGGGCUGAUUCAUUCAUGUUUCGGUUCCUUCCCAGUGCUCUUCCACAGAAGCAGUGGAAUUGGGGGUCACUGUCUCAGGGCUGGGAAGCAGAGAACGCAGUCUGAACGCGCCCUGAGAGGCCCCAGUGUGUGCAGGUCUGUGUUCCCGGCCCCACAGACCCCUGGUGUAAUUCCCAGCUGAUGGGAUACCACCUGGUAAUGGCAACUGCUCCUGCGUGGUUCUGCCAGCCGUAAUAAGGUGCACAUUGUAUACGAUAAAAAAAGCUCAGCUUUAUUACCUGGCUUGCAUGCCUGGUAAUGAAUAGAAGGAAGGCUCUCUCCCUCACGAACAGCAAAAUUUAAUAUAGUCUCUUUCUGGAGUUGCACCGGUGGGACUAAAAGUUUAUCUCAGCAUUCCAAGGGCAAUAAAAAUCUAAAUUUAAACUCGGAAUGUCUUACUGGGGCAAGAGUGCCCAGAGGCUGUGUACUCUUCCAACUUUGUUUAGGUCAUAACUGCUUAUGUAAAGUUAGUUUAUACCAGCUAGUUAGGUUUUAUGUCUUUGAGCACUGUCUUCAUUACGAAGGAGAGACGUAUCAAGUGCAGGGGGUGCAUAUGAAAGUUCAGCUCUGCUUUACUAUUGCAUUUAAUUUAGUUUCUUGCUGCUUAGUGCUUGGCUACGUGAAGAAAUCCCUAGCUCUUAACCUUCAUGCUACAGAUGCCUUUAAAGUCUAUUCUGAUUCAUUCCUGUAGUUAGACACCUCGGAUAUUUGGAGUUUGUGGUUAAUAUGAAGGAGCAGUGGAAAAAGAUACCUGGUGAAGGCUGCCACGAGCAGGGAAUCUCCUGUUAGCUGUGGUCGCAGGUUGGAAAGACUGACUACAGAAAGUAAGCAGAUGCCAGCUAGUGGGCUCUUGGAGCUUCACUGGCUCAGCGGUGGCUUGUUCUCUUGGCCCAUAGUUUUAAAGGUGGGAAGCAGAGAGACUCAAAUGCUGUUUCUGCAGCAUGAAUACAAGCAAGACAGGAUGAGGAAAUCAACUGGAGGUUUUCCUGAGGUCGUAUCUGGUAACCAGGGCAUUCAUCAAGCGCUGUGUGAGAUUGUGAGUCACUGCUGCCGAUGUUUUAAGAUCCUCAUGAGCUGUUUUCAGUUUGGAAAGUGAGAGCAUAUUGGCGUUAGCCACCACAAAGAGGAGAUGGAUGUGUGGAGGGGGGGGCAGUUCUGGUGACAGAACUUGAGAGGAAGGAGCAUUCUCACUUAGUGCUGCUUAGCAGCCAUUUCCAUCUCUGCACGUGCUUCCACAGAGCAGGCAGGGAGGAAGUGAAGAGAGCAGGUUUAAAGUUCUCACAGUUUCUAGGUGACUGUGCAGUCAAUAAAGGGUGUUCAUGUACCUCAUAGAAUCGUAAUCAUCAAGUCCAACCGCAGCCUAACCAUAGUACCCUAACUCUGACAACCCUCUGCUAAAUCAUAUCUCUGAGCACCACAUCCAAACGGCUCUUAAACACAUCCAGGGAUGGUGACUCAACCACCUCCCUGGGGAGCCUAUUCCGGUGCUUAACCACCCUUUCUGUAAAGAAGUGUUUCCUAACGUCCAAUCUAAACUUACCUUGGUGCAACUUCAGCAGGUCUGUUUGCUCUGCUCAUUCUUUGAGGUAGUUGUGCUACAGAGAGCAUGCUCCGUAUCUUUUAGAUACUUGAUGUGAUGGCAGGUAAGGAAUUAAGUGAAUCAGACUGAAUUUACAUAGGUAUACCUCUUGUUCUUCAGUAAAGGUGAGAAAAUAAUGUUUUUCUGUGUUGGAAAACUGAUGUGCGUGUGAUCUCCAAAACUGGCAGUCCAUGGGUGAAAAUAAGAGGAAAAUAGUUGAAGAGAAAUCCUUGCUUUUUAUGGAUAUCAGGACAUAUUUCCAAAUCACCUUAUAUAAAUCACCUGAUAAAUGUUCUUAUUUCUUCUGUCCUCACAGCCACUCCCAUUUUUCCAUCAGCCGCUGCUUUAUGUAUAUUUGUCAGUUCUCUCUGCCUUCCCGGGUCUGCUUGGAUUUCCUUUCAUCUCUUGAUAUCUGCUUCACUACAACUACUGCACCCUUCUAAUUUCCAGCGCUUCUGGCGUUCGCUGACAUUCAGCCAUUAGCACUGCUAGUUCUUCUUCAGUCUUGUAAUAGCAUUUUAAUGCUAUUACAGCCCUUUGUGUACUGAAAUCCCCACUGGUCGGAUUUCUUUUGGUGGGCCGAUACGUGGGAUUUCCUCUGAGGUCUGUUGGUGCCCAGGCUUCCAACCAACAGAGCCACAGCUGACUUAGUGUUCUCAGUGUGCUUAGAAAUUGCCACGUACUCCAUCUUCUCCUUGGGUCUCCUGCUCAGCACCUCCAUUCACACACCCUGUACUCAGAGUUCUGCUGUUAAUUUUAUUACAACAUUUUCCCAACAUUGCUCAUCUUCACCAUUCUGCCGGUGCUGCUUUCGGUAAUGAGCAAACAUUGGUUAUUCAUACGUUCCAUUUUGCAAGUCAACUUAUUACCCAGUAGACCUGUUAUGGUCACUAUGGCCACGUGAGAGCCUUCCAAACAAAAUGUUGCUGUGUUGGAUUGGACAAAUAUCUAGAAGUUUCUGAUCCUUCCCAAAUAUAUUUAGAUUUCUAUGAUGAAAAAGAUUUUUGUUUCUCUCAUUACAUGCAUUAUUUUUACUAACCCUAAUUCUGUAAGAGCAAUACAAACUACAUAUUUUUUUACUAAAACGGAACAUGAGUUACAGCCUUAUGAGCUGCUCUGGAAUAUAGGUGCUUCCUUUAAACUCUCAAAUGAUGUUACUUCUGGGAGCAAGAACCUUAUUUCUUCUCUGUGACACUUUGUUGUUCGGCUGCCUUGAAAGAGCCGUUUAAGGCGCUGAUUGUUUCUGAUGGUGAUAGCAGUUGCUGCGGAGAAAUACAUGGCUGUGGUUUGAAGAUGAAUAUAUGGCAUAAAUUAUAGCACGAGUAACUUUCCUGUGAUGUGUUAGGCUUCACCCAUUUGUUUCACAAAGGCACAUAAACAAUUCUAUACUGCUAUUUUAAGUUGGCAUUACAACCGAGUACUCAUCUUUUCUUACUUGCAUGGCUUGCAAUUACAUUUUGAAUUUCUUCAUAAAUAUGAUGUAGUCUUUAUACUGAGUGUUCUUCUCCAUCACUUCAGUGAUUUAUUGUUACUCACGGGACAGUUGUGCUAUAGCAGCUCCUUAUGUUUGCGAACUUACUACAAAAGUGCAAGCAUUUAGAAUUGUGCAGAUGUAGCUGUGUGCCCAAGGCUGCCUGCUUAAACAUCCUGCUGACCACAUGCAUGUUUUGCAUGAUUUGACCAUACCCGUUGACUGUAUGCAGACGUGGUGCAGUGUAGGAUGCUACAAACAUGGACCUCAGAAAAGGUAUAGAGAAAACAAAGUUAAUUAUUGCUUGCCAUUGAACACCAUAGAAGUACCAGAAGAGGAAAAAUAAUCAGCUUCAGUAUGUUUAUCCUUAAAAAAGAAAAAUAGUCUUAUAAUGAUUAACUUUUGACAUGUAAGUCCUUUGUAGGUCAUUAGUGGUGUAGCUGUGCAUAUAUGUGCCUGCUUCAGAAAACAGUUUGGUCCAUAAUCUCAUAAUGUUGAAUUCUACCUGGCAGUUUUAUUCGAGCUUAAUUUCUUUUUCUUCUAAUGCUGUUAGCUGGAGAGUUAUGAGACAGGCAUCAGCUGAAAGCACCAGGGAAGGACAGGUAUUGGCAGUGGCAUAAAAGCAGAAGGGGAGGAAAAAGAAUAGCUAUUGUAGCAUUUAUCAGUAUUCUGCUAAUAGUCUGCUCAGACACAACUCUGGAAUAAAACAGACGUUCAUACUGCAAUUUCUUUCAAUGGUUGGAGCUAUUCAUCUGCAGGGUUACAAGACAAAAGUCUAAACCUUCCAGACAUUAUAGUAUAGCUGUUCUAUUGAAUUGUGUUAAGAAGGAGAAACCUUAGAAGCUGUUCCCUGAAGUGUAAAUAUUCUACAUUGCCUUUGGAGGGCAUGUGAAUGUGGGCAACUGACUUCCCUAGAAUGCACUUCUUCAGGUAGUUGAUGCCUUUACACGUGAAAAGAAAACGAUCUGUAGCCCAGUAUUCGAGGCAAGUAAGGGAGAGAGAGGCAAGAGGCUUUUCAUGUUGGCCUCGAUUGACCAUCCAGUGAAGUGUAAGAAGGGCUCUUGUUGGUUUCUGUAGGUUCUUUGUCGUCAUUUCAGCAAAGGAGCACUGUGUGCAGCCAGGUGGAGAGCGAGGGAUCCAAGUGCCAUGUUCCCUAAUGGGGGGAUGGCUCCAGGCCUUGCUGCAUGGAGAGCUGUACUGGCAAACCUGUGAACUCCAACUUAAGGGGGGAAAAAUAGAAAGCAACAAAAAAGUGGGUAAGGCUCCUGUUGGUUUGGCAUUAGCAGAUCUGUGGUCUAUUGCUUUUCUAUGGGAGGCAUUAAAUUAGAAACUUAAAGUCAACGUUUUCUUUCAAGCUGGUAUGCUUCAGAUUUUGUCCAUGGUGUUCAUAAAAGAGCUUUCUCCUUUUGUGCAAAGUAAUUGUUAAGCAAGGAGGAAGAACUUCAGUGAACAACAGAGUCUGUGAAAGACAGCAUUUUAUAAUGUCCAAAAAUACACCUCAAAAUGGGUUAUAUUUACCCAGCAAUUUCCUUAAGAGAAAGCAAGAAUUCAUUAGAAAAUGAAAUGCUUUUCACAUACUUAAAUUCUCCAUUUUGAUGUUACUGAAGUCAAUCAGGCUGUUUCAACUUCUACGGUACGUUGGGAGGAUUACAAAUGAAGAGAACCGACAUUUGGAAUUGAGAAAAUGAGCCAUAAUUUUCAAUUCUGGUUGAGAAAAUGAAUUAAAGUAUGUAUAUACUUAUACUGAAAAACUGUAUUUUCAUCCAAUCACUUAAAUCAACGUAUUUGCUCUUUUGAGAAAUCCUGUUUUCUGAAAUUAAACUGUCACUGAACUUUCAGUUGGAACUUUUUAUUGUUGUAAGUGCAGAACAGAGGCAGUUAACUGGGAUCAUUGAUAGGAACCCAUUCGGUCUAAAGAUUAGAGCACUGAGGUGGGUUCAGAUUACAUUAGAAAGCACUUGUCAUAUUCAAUACUAUUGCCAGUGAAAAUAUGAUGGGAAAAAUAGGGAAUACCGUAUCAGUAUUCUCAGUUGUAAGCUCUAGGUAUUAUUAUUUUAUAGAUUUUGCAUCAUUCAUCCUUCCAUAGUCAGCCAUGUAUGCUUAGAUUUAUGCAAGCCCAGUGAGAACACUUUAGGAAAAUACUAACUUCCAGUGGAGUGGUUUAUCAUGGUUAAAGUUAACAGUAAUAAUUCCAUUGCAUUUUUAAAGGCAAGCAUCAUUUGGAAAUAUAUGGUAACUAUAAUAACUACACUGAUGUCUUUUACUGGGUUUUGUUGUUCUCUCUGGCUGGUCCUUGAAGGGAAAUAUUUUGUGUGCACGUUUCUGUUGUCUGCUUUGUGUCAGAAAAUGCAUGUAAAAUGCUACCAAGUCUGACACCUACUUUGUCUCCGGUGUUUUCCUUGUGUAAAAGAGUACCCAGCUGCAUGGAAAUAGGAGGAAUGUCUGCUGCUUCAAACAAAUUUCCAGCCUUCUGGAGGUUAUUCUCAGCUGAAGUCAAUGGAAAGGAGUAAGUAGGCUUGUUUUGUGUCAGAUAAACAGGUACGAGAAGGCCUGAGAAAUGAACUUAGCACUCCAUUUUGGUGAAAAUUUCUGGCAAGUAAAAUGUGUAGAUGAAAUGAGAUUUGUUUCCUCCCAACCAUUUGUAAGAGAUUUUGCCACGUUCCUUUUUCACCCAGUUUUAUGGAUGACAUUGAGGUGUGGUUUCCACUGUCUUGAAGUCUGAAGAACAAAUUUUUCUCUCUUUGAAAGCUGCUGCAAAAGGAGAAACUCUUCUAAUUAUGAACAAAGACUGUAACAUUUAUCAUUAAAAAGCUAAAACAGAGACUCAUUUACAAGAGAAUAAGCUUUGUCAAGUGCACUUUUGUAUUGGAAUAUUCUGAAAAAAAUCUCUCGCUGAAGAUUUUUAAAGACAGAAGCAUAGGAAGAUAAUUUCAUUCUUUGACAUGUUUUACCUUUGCAAAGUUACUGGGCUGCUGACAGGUACAACAAGACGUGCUACGCUUACAUGCUAUUAGUGCAGUAGGCUUUGAAAAAUGUCUAAUGCAUUGGCAUAUCUGACAAUUUAGGGUAUUAGUUAACAGUGAGACUCUGUAAAUAGAGUGAAUUUUAGCUGCAACUGCUGACUUGAGCGUUCAGUCAACAUCUGCAAUACAGGGCUGAACUAUAUGCAACAAAUAAUGCCAUUUUAUGCUGUGGAGAUGGAAGCUGGCAUUAUAUGCCGUGUAUGGCUCAGUCUGAGAGUGGUGGUAAUUGCAAUAUAUUGAAGUUUUGCAUUGUAAUAAAAAUAGAGACCAUUAGUGGAUACCAUUUAUGUCAUUAGUAUUUAGUGGCUGUGUGUUGCAGCUUUUUUAGUGCUCAUAAAACUGUCUCUGCUUGCAGAUAUGUGACAGCACUGAUAUAAAUUUAAAUGUUUGGAAAUCCAUAAGACAUAAAAUAUAGAUAGUAAAUAGGGGCAUAACACUAUAGACAAAAACUUAAUGAUUUGGCACACAAAUGUUUAUAUAUUUGCAUGUCUAAUGCAGCGAUUAGCAUAAUGGUGAUCACAUUUGUACCAUGGAAGACCUUGAUUAGCAGACAACAACAACAAAUAAGGUAAAACUUAAGCACGUUGUACAAAAGCAGUAGAGAAUUCUUUCAGGUUGCAAAUCAGAGCUUUAAUGUUGGAAGGUGCAUCCUCUACAUAUGUUUGGUGGGACACUGGUUUUCCUUCUUACAGGCUUUAUUAGUAACGACACCUGUUCCACUAGCUAGUAGUAUUACAGUUGUUCCUAAGAAGUGAUUAUAAAAAAUAGAAAAUGUGAAAGGGAAUGAAGCAGUUAAGGAACACUGGGAUUGAGAUUGGAUGGUGCUUCUUUAAGACCAACGGAGCCAGCCAGCAUGGGGAAGAUUAACCAAUGUUCAGACCAAGCACCAACACCUUGUCAGGAACUUGGCUGGCAGCAGAGCUGGCUGAGGAAAGACAUCUUUGUAGUGUGGGGAUGGGAUGAGUCCAGGAACACGGCCCGGGGGGUUGCACUGAGUGCUGUAUGCUAGCCAAACGUUACAGGCUGUAUUGUUUGGAAUUCCCAGUGUAAGAUUUUCAUUUAAGGAAUCCAAGAAAUUCAGAAGCCAGAUCUCCGUGCAGAAGUUCUCUGGGAAAGCCAUCCUCUCUCCUUGAUUUCAGGAGUGCCCGUUUUCAGUUGUUCUCAGUUGUUUGAGAGGUUCCCACCAUGGCUGAUUUGCCUCCAAAAGAGGAGUGCUUUGCUGUCUGUUUUUUCUCUCUGAAAGUGAUGGAUUUGAAGCAAGAGGUUCUGAGACUUUUCUUCUGUACACUCUGUCCAUGCCGUCUUCAGCUCUGACCUUUACAUCCCAGAAACUCACAGGAGGUUGGUCACAGAACUCUUGGGGGAUUUGGAACUCAAAUCGUGCCACACUAAAGAGAGAACACAGAACAAUAAAAAGAUCUUCAGUCAUUUGGAGCGAAGGACAGGAAGCGCCGUUAGAAAAAGCAUCUUUCCAAUUGCAUUUCCUUCCAGUGGAAGGUUUUAUCAACGUUUUUAGUUUGAUGUGUGUAUUAAUGCUUAACACUGAGCAUUAAGCAACAUCAGGUUCUGCUUCAGAAGAAAAAAAAAACCUUUGGAAAAUGUGAAUAUUUCCACUAAACAAUAAGAAGUCAGCAGGGUGGGGAAGAUGAUGGUAUAAAUGGUGGGUAUGAACAUGUGCAGAAAGCUUGGGGCUCACGUUAAUACAUGUUAAGGUUAGACAAUUGGGUGCUUUUCAGGAGCUCAAGUAGUAAGCAGAAGUGAGACAUAAGCCUUCUAUACAGUGAAUGUAAGUAUUUCAGUGUCUCUUACGGUCUAAUUAUGGGAAGUGUUACAGUGGAAGUCUUAUUGCUCCUUUACGAAAUAUGUUUUUGUCUGUUUAUCUGUCAAAACAGACUGAAGCGUAAAUCUCUACGACGUUUUCGGCCUUUGAAGCAUUCAGUGCAGCUAUUUAUAUUCACAUAGAUUCUGAAAUCUUUUUGAAACUUUGUGCUUCUGAUUGCAGAAUUCAGUGUCGCUUCUUAGCACGUUGAGUGCUGACGGCUUUGAACACACAGUGACAAUGUGGCUGUGAGCACCGCCCUGCUGAGAGACAUCUCUAAAGGAAAAGUGAUUUUUAUGUUGAAGGUUUUGGUUGAUUUUCAGAAUUAGGGGAAACAUCGAAGUGCAUAAAAAAUGUUUAAUUCUCCUGUACACCACUAAAUUGCUUGUUGCUUUAUAUAUCCAGCAGAUACAUGAGAGCAGAGACCACUUUCUGAAGCCAUUCUGUGCAAAAGUUUGUACUAGAACUACUAGGGGAUGGAAAUCAUAAUACAGCUGAAGAGACCUUCAUUUAGACACUGGAUUUCUGGAAUCACAAAGCUUCAAAAACAUUGUGCAGCUUUUAAACUGCAAUGAGAAUUGUGGUAAAUAGUUUAAAUGUCCCAUUUCAGAACACUUUUGAGAGCUCAGAAUGACAUGAGAGCUAUCUUUAGCAAUCCCAAUCAGCUGACUUAAAUUGGUGGAAAGGUGCUGAGCUGCCACAGCUGAGGGAUGUAUCUCACAGAGCAUCUGAUGCAUUCAAGCAAGAGAUACUUGGACAGAGAAGCAUUCACAAAGAAGUGUUACCCAUUGUCUAAGGGUGUAACUGAGGAUCGUGACUUUGUAUAUCUUAAUGGCUUAUGACAGCUCUGGACAAUUGUGAUGUGUGGUAUAAUAUAUUCUGCUUCAAAUGCAGUCAUGCCUCAGAAGCAUCAAAGUAAUUAUUAUAGGUGUGGAACCAGUUUAAUUUUUGGCAGAGUUGUUUUAAAUUUACUUAUCUUGUGCUUAGUAACCACGUGUCUGUGAAACUCUGAAAGAACCUACCUCUACAAACGUGUUUAUAUGAAAAUACUUCACCUGCUUGGCACAUACAGGCUACUUGGGUUUCACUUAAGUGAGUGACAGUAUGCAUUUAGGUUGGGGAAUUCACAGGUGGUGCAAUGUCCAUCCUGGAACCUGUGCUUUAAGUGUGCAUGUGUGAAUUUCCAGUGUUUUGAACCAAUGUUAAUUUCACACCUGGGCUGGGGACGGAUAGGGGCAGUGCUGCUUAAGCAGUUCCUAAUUUUUAUUUAUUUAUUUUUUAAGUCCAAUCAAGUAAGAAUUUGGAACUGUCAGACCCUGAAGGAGCCAGGGAAACAGGGAUAAGCCAUAGUGCUGAGCCCAGACAAAAAUCAGCUGAAUCAAAAUCAAGAACAGCUUCAACAGUUAAUCUUCUAAACACUGUGCUUUAUUAAGAACUCAUAAAUUGCCAGACAUUACUUUUUACAUUCUUACUGAUGUAAGAUGUUGGCUAGCAAUAAGUUGCUACAGUAUUCCAAAACAAGCCUAAACCACAUAAGUUAUCAUAAUAUAUAUAUUCUCACCUGCUCUAUAUACUUAUCUUGCUUUACAUGCCCACAGAAGAUAAUAGUAUUAAGCAGUAAUUCUCUUGAGAGGCAGUUACAUUAGUUUUCUAGUAAUGACUAUUUAAGAAUUGAUUCGUGUUACCUAUGUAUAAAGUGUUCAGGAAUCAUUUGUUGCUUGGAGUCAGCCUGAGUCUUGAUUCUGGCCUGUUGUUCUCUCUUGGGGGACAGACAUUCUUCCUAGUUGACUGUAGGAGCAUGCAGAGUUAUCCCGAAGGAUGCCAAUAAAUGUUACACAUAAAAAGAUAUGUGCAGUAACAGAUGCUGGUGGUACAGUGCCUUAGGUGGGUGGAUUCUAGUUCACUUUUCUGUUACACAGUCAUAAUUUGUGCUACUGCUUUUGUACUGUUGUGUUGCAAGCCUCACUGGUCCAGGACUUAUUGAGAAUGGGUGAUCUUUGUAGGAUACAGAGGUCUAAGGUAACAGAAAUCUGAAUAGUUUUUCAGAGCUUAGCAGGAGGUGGGCUGCCCUGUGUUUUAGGUGGGCAUCUUUCCCUUCAAAGCGGAGCAUCAGUUUUUGCAGGGUGCCUCAUACAGAGCAGGCAGUGAAGCUGCAGCUGCGCGCUCUGUCUCAAAUAGGGCAUUCCUUAGUGGGGAUGAACAGCUGCUGUUUCUGAGGAGCUUUCCUAAGCAGUGUCUUAAUUCUGUCUUUGAUGUCCAGAGAAGAACACUGCUUUUGCCUUAUAGGAUUCUCUGGAGAAAAUAAUAAUCUAAUAGCCAUAAUUAAGGGUCUGUCACACGAGAGACUGAGAGGAGUAAGAGACUGAUCGUUAUUCAUUGCUGUGUUUAUAGAAGAGCUUACGGCUUAUACAGCUCUCACUGGAGAUGAACUGAAAGCUGUCACUCUGGGGACUGUUUUUGCACUACCUAAAGGUGAAUUGCUGGAUGUUGUUUAUUUUGACUUUCGCCAAAUCUGUUGUAAAGAAGGCUCAGAAACCAAAGGUGGAUGUUUUUCUUGAGUAAGAAUGAAUACCAUUAAAAUUAGCGUGCAUUUUGUCGAAUGAGGGUGGUGAAACUAGUCCAGAAUGGAUGUGUUUAGAAAAAAAAAUUAUUAUUUUAAAAGUUGUGUGAUUAAGUGAGAGAAAAUGGAAUAUGUGGUGAGCUCGUUGCUUUAAAAAUAGAGCUGUCCCUCAAAGCUACAGACAUGUUCUUUCCAUGUUAAACUUUUCAUCAUUUCCCUGUGAGAGUGUCUCAGGAAGGAAUGGACUUGGACCAGGUCAGGAGGAGAGCACAGCACAUAUACUUGGCUCUGGAUUCUGGUGAGUCCUUCAAGGUAAGAAGACAUACUAGAGAUGUCAUGUAUGCAUGCUAUUGCUUGCAUGUUUCUGGGUGGCAGAAAUGCUACAACCUCCGAUGUGUCUAGCUCCCUCAUGGCACCAAGAUAGGGAAUACCAAAGCACUGAGCAGCAGAGAAAAGGUAAAAAUCAUUGGCUGGGGGUGGGAGUGACAAAACUGGGCUUCUCAAUUGUGCUUUGGAGUGUGAGGUAAUAAUGCUAGUGUGAACUGGUGGUAGAGUAAUAGAUUUUUCAGGUGCAGAUUAAGAUAUCAAGCCUUUCAGAAAGGUGUAUUUGUCUCAGUAUGUUCGGGGGAUCGAGAUGGAAGUGACUGAGUAAAAACACGAUGUAGGAGGUCAGACCAGAAUGUCUUUAUGGUUCCAUCAGCUCUUAAUGUUUUAAGAAAGUUAAACUGAAACCUUUCUUUGCUGGGGUUUGAAUAGCACAUCUCUGUAGAGCUGUAAAUAUCUCAAGCUCAAGGGGCUUUAAAGUUUUAAAGAGACUGCAAUGUUUGUGUCAACUCGUGUUUUACAUUAGAGGACAGCUGCCCUUAUAAUCCUUGGUUGUGUAAUGGAGAAGCCAAAUAGUGGACGUGAGCAGUUAAAAAAGGCAUGUGCAGUGGAUGAAAAGGAGAUCCAACGAAUAUUAAAAACCAUCAAGCUGUCACUGAAGGACAGUAACGUCUUUUGGCUUUCUUCCAGAACGUGCAAUCACUGCCCUUGUGUAAAUCCUACAUAAGUGAGGGUCUGAGGGAGCAGGGAGUAAAUCCUUCCCAAUGAACCUGGACAAAGGUAAGUGUGAUACUGACAAUGUGGUCACCUUGUCCAUCUGAAGCUUUUGUUCCAUCCCUGAUGAAAUUUGAACAGAACAGGAAAGUAAGAAAUAAAAACUAGAAAUGAAGAAGAAAAUCCAGAAAAACUUUUUCUCCUGUCCUUUCUCCUCCUCCAUUAAGACUCAUGUGGGAUGUGUGUAAGCUGAGGAAAUGUAAACAGAAGUGGUCCCUGAUGAGUGAUAACCACUACUGCAAUGCUAUAAGGUGCAGUAGGAUUAAGGGCCUUUGCUGCAAUUCCCUGGGAUGAAGUAAUGUCACUUCUUUCUGAAUACAAAUAUUUGAUGAAGUUUGUCCUGUGGAGCAAUAGUUUGUUAGAACAGAAGACUCAAAUGACACUGUUGAACUUUAGGCUAUUUUAAUGUGUUUUUAGGCAGAAGUUUCAAUCAGUAAAAUUGUUUAUUUUGACUUUCUGUAUGGAGAAAUAGAGCAUUUCAAUCCAGUAGAUCAUGUUAAAGAAAAAAAUUACCCAAACCAAAAUUCUUCUGACAUUUUGUUUGUGGAAACGUGAAGUUGCUUGGGCAUUUGUAGUGUUUUGAGAUUACCUCCUCACCUACACAGAACACUUUGUUACUUCCCAGUUCUGCCUUACAGGUUCAUGGUUUGGCGUGGUCCACAGUUGUCACAAGAAUCAGCUGAAGACCACAGCAAUAUAUCUUUGUGGUUUACUAUCAUAUUCUAAAUACUAAACAGACAAAUAUUCUCAGAGAGGUUUGACAGCUGACCUGCAGACCGUACACAGCAUUUGCUUGUCUUUAAGCUAUUGGUAUUUCUAUGAAGAUAUAGUUCAUAAUUAUUAUUUUUACUGAUGUUCAAUUGAUGUCUUAUUAAAUAUAAAUCAUGUUUGGGAAUAAUAAUUUAAUGGGACGAGUCAGAUGAGAAUCCUCCUGAUAGUUUAUAAUGAAGCUUCACGUUAUCGAUAAUUCUAAGCUCAUAAAUUAUUAAGGAUGGAAAAAAAAAUGCAACUGUUCUAAAAUAAGCUAUGAAAAUGUGAAGUGGUGGUGAACAGACACAGCGUGCUGGGACUGCUGCGUGACAACGUGUGUUUGGCACUAAGUCAUGUAAGUCAGAACCACUUCAACAUCUCCUGCUCUUACCAAAACAUUUCAUAUUUAAGCAGGUAUCUUCCCCUUGUAUCCCAUUAUUAUGCUGCACCAUUCUGUUCACAGACAUUUUGCAUUGCCUGGGAAAACUGUUAAUUUAAUACACUGAGCUGACCCCGGAGGCACUGAAACGACAUGGCAGCAGCAGUCUGGAGUGCUGCAGUAUAUCCUGCUGUUAACAGCUGGGGAUACUGUGCACUUUUCUAGACAGUUGUCUGAGAGCUCUUUAGGGACAAGUGAGGAAGCUGGCUGUUUGACCACACUGUCAAGGAGGGUACAUCCUGUCCCUUAGCAUCUUUCCUCUUUUCCAUGGAAGACAGAUUUCCCAGUCGCUCCUCUGAUCUUCUCGAAGAGUUGGCAACAAAACCAUUGGUCUCCUUCCUACAAGAAAGAAAGAAAGGAGUAAAAACCCUCAGGUAAGAAAAGAAGGAAUAUACGGAAGCAGAAAAUUCUGUUUGAAACAGUUCUUUUCUUAGGAGAAAAGAGGUGAUAUAUCAUGGAAUAAGUGGUACUGCCUGGUGGAAAAACCCUUUCAAAAUGUCUUUGUUUUUCUUUACCAACGUACACUUAUUUUUACUUAAUAUUUAACUUAAAAGCUCUGGUUUGGGUUUUUUGUUUUGUUUUAUUGGAUCUCCAGCAUCCAGUGAAGUACUUCAGAGAUCCAAAACAACCAUUCCUUGAGUAACAUCAAAGCUAUCCCAGCCUGUAAAGACGGACCAAAGUCCAGGGAAGUAUUCGAUAUCUCUAUUUUCUACUCAGUCAGAAUUGUAGAAAUUCAGCAUUUCUUAAAAUGCUGCUGUUAAUUUAAGGAAGUCACACAGCAGGUCGGUGCAUGUGAAGAAGAUUAAUAGUGAAAAUUAACCUCCCAGUAUUUCUGUUAGUGGAAGUCAGGGAUGCACAGAAUUCUGAAAAUAUGGCCUCCCUGCCAUAGUGGCACACAGAAGUAGUGGUGACACAAGCAUUCAGAUAUGGAUUUUGAAAAAAUAAAAGUUCAAUUAAUUUUUUUAGCACAUGAACAGGGAGGUGGCUUUGUCAAUGGCUUACAUCUUCACCGAAAACUCUAUUCCAGGGAUUUGAUGAAUACUGGAUGGCUGAAGGAUUGCAAGCUAGAAAUUGGGCUCAAUAUAAUGUUCAGGGAAAAAAAACCACACAAAAACCAACAAAAAAUAUGCUGCUUUUCUGAUGAAAGCCUUGGUUGCUAGGAAGAGUGUAUUCAAGUGUUUGCUUAUGUUUUGUUGGGAUUCUCAUCAGUGUGGCGUAAAUGGCUAACACUCUGCCCUUUAAAUAAUGUUUUCUUAAGUAGUGAAACUAUAACUCAAUGAAGAAAUUGCACUAAUCACCUUUUCUCAAAAGCUGAGAAUUAUGACCUCUCUGUAAUUAAAAUGGUAUCUUUCAAACAUUAAUCUACGGGCUAAUGCAUUUUUAAUAUAUUUUCCUAGUUACAGAUUUUUGAAAUCAACUUGAUUUUGAAAAGAGAAAAUGCUGAUCCCACACAUGCAGAAAGUGUAUCGACCCCAUUGGACCCAUUCUUUUUUUUUUUUCCCUGAUGUCCAGUGCGAUCUGGUGGAAGUGUUGGCAGUUCCUGUCCAAACAGUUGCUGAUGCUUUUCAGGGAGGGGGAUAUAUUAAGCAAUUGCUUGAGUCAGGAAAUGCCUGUUGUCCCUCAUCUGCCUCCCACAGGUAGGACUUGGAAGAAGGCCCUGGCCUGCCCUCAUCUCGACACUGUUUGCACACUGCUCAGCUUACUCAUGACCAUUCUGUCAGCACGGUAAGAAACCCUUCCAUGCGCUGUUUGCUGCCAUGGCUGUAGGAGCACUAUGAAAGACAAAUAAAUGCCACUGUCUAAUUUCAGAAUAAGAGAAGUCUUGAGGCUACUUUCACUCUUGGGGCUUGUCUUUUUGCUGUCAAAUAUGUUUCUUGUUCUGCACGAAAAUAAAAUAUAAAUGACUUCAAACACAGCUCCUUCUUCUGAGGCUGUUAUGCAGACAAAGGUGGGUUUGUAAUUGCGAGAAUAUAUCUGUCUAUGUAAGAACUGAAAGGUUCAAAUAGGCAUUUAGGCUGUUUGGUCCUGUAUGUACCUCUGGUGUGUGCAACAUAAAACUGGGAACAGGGAAUGUAGCGAACAUCCUGCAGUCUCCAGAGGCACCUAGGAAUUUCUGGUUGAGUGUUUGCCCUUGUCUCCUUUUCUGUUAUGGCGUAUCUGUCAUUUGGAGUUACAGAUACUGAGGUGAAGUAGAGAAGAACACAGUAUUUGGUAAUCAAAACGAAGGGAGAAACAAAAGAAGAGGCCAGCAAUGCAAGGCAGUUAUUAAGAGGUAAGUUACAUAAUUUGCCGAAGGUGUACCUUCUAAGUUAGACAGAGGCUGCAUUCUACCUUAGUGCAGCAAUAUUCCCUUAGUGACUCCAGUACAGUCUUGGUAGCUUUUGGCUAACAAAUAUGGAGAAUUUCCUGUUUGUGAUAUGAACUAUGCUUAAGCAAUAAAACCAAACAACAUAGUGAAUUAGUAACCCUUGAGUGUGGUCAGAAUUCCUGUAGGGCUGGGAUUGGCAGUAUCUAAGGGUUGGAGCUGUUUGCAUUAGAUCUACGGCUUGCUUGUGAAGCUAGCAUUGUAGGUCUGUCACAGCCAGAUGUGGAAAGCUCAACAGCAGACUGAGCUCAGUAACAAAUACUACAGCUCAAGGAUCACAUGUCUCAGUUCAUGGUGAUGUUAAUGGAAAAGUACCUAUUGACUUCCUUUGGAGUUUGAGCUGCCUGUGAAAGGAAGCAUGUUAAGAAUUUAACCCAGAGCUUGUUGCCCACCUUUAUUUUCCCAUCUUGCUCAGCCUCAUUCAAUUAAUUACCAACAUAAUUUAAUUUAAAGCUAUAAUAUAUUCCAAUUCAAUUCUACUGCAGUACAGCUGUAUUUCAAAUGCUGUGUUUAGUUCAAAAUACUAAGUGGAAAUAGAGAAAUAAAAUGUCAAACAAUAAAGUGGCAACCUUCUAAAGGGGAAUGUCAUUUCAAUUAAAUUUUCAGAGGGGUGAAUGCAAAGUUGGGUAUUUUCUGUAUCAUAGUAGCUUGUCAAUGAAAGCAUGCAUGUCUUAAUGUUUCUUGACUAGCUUUUGUUAGUGCAACAGGAGUCCCAGAAUUUGGCAGGACAGUUACUCAUCUGUAGAGAUGAUAGUCUUGUAGAAUAAGCACUCUGUAGAAAUUUGCCCCAAGUCCAAAGAAAACGAUGUUUGCCUGGGAACCUUGGCAUCUUGAUUCUUAGCCAGCACAAUUUACCAUUGAAACCAGGCUAAAUGUGCCUCUUUCUUUAGUAUCUCCUUGAAGGAAAGAGGCGUAUGUAUGUUUGUGUGCAUGCAAACCUGUGCAUCUGGCAACCUCACACCUUGCUGAAGGCAGACCUGUGGUGGGAAGCUACAUCGUGGCUGUGGUUUUCAUGAGGAGGUUAUUUUCUUGCUGCAACAGUUGUAUACAACCUGAACAUUAUUCUCUUUCGUGGUCUUGGAUCAACUCUAUCUCUGGUUGAGUUUAGAAUCCCCAAAUGACUGUGAUAGGUACACGAUUUUAAAGCUAUAUUAAUGUCAUUUCUUAGGUGUCUUUGCCACUCUUCAACAUCAGCCUGUUGUGAAUCAUGCAGAGAAGGAACAGAAUCCACCACAGCCUGUGAGUAGCACGAAAUUUCAACUGGAUGACUGUGUAAGGUUUGUGAGACUGCCAGUAAUUUUUUUUUAUAUUCAGAGUUAAAUAGAGCAAUAAGAUGGAAUUUAAGCUUUAGUGCAAUGGAUCGAGGCUCUUCAGUCAAUCAAAUUAUAGUUCAAUCAGUUCAUUUUAAUCACUUCUCUGGAGAGAAGUAAACCCCUGUGUUGAAGAAUAUGCAGCCAUUUUAUUGACGGAAAGUUUAAUUGUUUUCAUUUUUCCUUACUGUCUGUAACACACUAGACUUUUAAUCAGUGGGAACUGAAGUUAUAAUGAAGUAAAGUCCACUUUCCACAGUUCACAACUAGCUGAAAAUAAUUGGGUUGAGACUCCCAUCCAGACAGUGUAAUGCCUCUGGCAUUUUCCUGAAAACUACACUUAAUUGCUUUGCUGAUGUUGUUAAGUGGUCCUGAGGGGGAUGAAGUAGUAAAGCUGCCCACAUAUGCAGAGAAACAAUACACAAAAAAAAUGUCUUACAAGGUCCUUAAAGGAGGACCAACUGGUGACUGAAAGAAAAUAUACGGCCCUUCUUCUUCCUUUUCUACACCAGAGAGAACAUAGGCUGAUAAACUAAACCAUGGAAAUUCUAUGCAUGCUAACAGUAUUUUUACUUAGAAAGCUUGGGACUUCAAGUACAGAAAACAACAAGUGAACUGCAGGUUCGAUUGCAAUUGUUGGUGUUUUUACACUGAAUGCCAGUUAGCGUGCUGCCUGUCUUCAGCACCUCGAGUUGAGCUACAGUCCUCAUGUCCCUACAGGGGGAGGGCAGCUUGCUUGCUGUGCUCCGGUGUGCUUGGAUGUGGGCCAGCUAUGAGCUGCCAGCCUUGUCCAGGCAUCAGUGGGACCAGCAAGGGUACUGGAUUAGACUCUGAAAAUGGCCAGAGAAAGAAUAAUGCUUUGGAAAUUUUCCUAAUUUAGUGCAGUCACGGGGAAACACUCCUCAGCUGAUUGGUGUUUGAGACCCAAAAUGAUGAAUGAACUGCUAGACUCAGGCACAUCCCCGUGGAGGAGUAUGUUACUAUUUAAUAGAGAAAAAUACUUAUUUAGGACAAGCAAAUUAAGUGGUGGGAAAAGGGAGUUCAAUUGCACUAAUUUUGUUUUAUGCAGAUGCUUGGUUUUUUUUAAAUGAAUUGUUUGUUUAUUUAUAUAUGCUGGCACAGCAGUCUGUCAACAGCCUGGCCUUCUCAGCUGGUGUCUGUGUAAAUUUCAGUAUGGCCUUUGCUUAUUUUAUAGUUGCUCUGAUAGGCUCUGAGCUGAGCAACUGCCCCCCUGAGAAUGUAAACAAAAUUGGGCAGUGGUUUCUAAAGCAAAAAUCUCAAUUACCCCUUCUACACCCACAUAUGAGUUAGAGGGGUGAGGGAUUCCUUGUCAGCCUCCAAGUUGGUGCUUAAGAUUCUGGCCUGCAAAGCACCCGGGAACCUUUUUGCACUGAGAGAUCCUCAGGUCCUGAGAGGACUGGAAUACUUCAGUAUCUAGCCCUGUCUUAACCUGACUGAGCUCCACAAUAGGCUUUAAUACCUAGUUUUCCUAUAACAGAAUAGCAACCCUGCAUAUACUGUGUGUGAAACCGCAAGCCAUAUGCCAAGGAUCUCAAGCUGUCAUUUUGGAGACUAGCCCUGGGAAUAGCCUGUUGUGUCUAAUUGAGUCUCUUUGCCUGCCUCUGGGAGAACAGCUCAAUAGCAGCAGCAGUUCUGCUCUGCUGUUUGUGGGGUCUCAUGGUGAGGUGAGGAACAGGGUAUGCAAUGGUUGUAGCAAAUGAGGCCUACGUUUUGAAAAGCCAGAAGACUUACCUUGGUUCUUGCAGUCCUUUAGAAUCAGUAAGAAUACAAAACCCCGAGCUAAGUCUUCAUUUGCCUGUUUCUCUAACUGCUCACAUGGAAAGAUGUGAUUUUCAUGGUUGUCAUCAAAGCCAGUGUAGUCAGUUGUGGAAACAUGUCAGAUACCAUAUGUCAGUAAUAUGCCUUUGAAAUGUUGGUGUCUGAAUAAUUUUUUGACUAGCUGAAUGGCAUAUGUUUAAAUGUAAACAGCUGUUCUGUGUUUGUACUGUCUGUAUUCUCUACUUUUUUUUUUCAAAGAGGAAAAAAACUGACUGAAACCCAGGAAAAUCUUGGGAUUCAUCCAUUUUUAAGGAAUUACAGCUUUUGUGUUAUUUCAUUGUGUGGCCCAUAUGUUCUCUCUUAAUCCACGAGGAAGGCAUUUAAAAGAACAUUUUGAUCUUGCUAUAACCAAAACAAACACAUGGUUCCAGGUUAGGUAAAAUGUGAUUUGACUAUAAGUGUUAAGUGAAAAGAUUGUGUUGGUGUUGGGCAGGUUCUGUUAUGUAUAGAUUUGCAUCUAAGUCGUCCAUGUAAGAGUAGUGCAUUCAACAAUGGUGACAAUAAGUAAGUUGGUUUUAUCCAGAAACUCUUCUGAUGCAGUUAAAGAACUUGCAGUGUAAUUAAUGACUUAAUAAAGAAAUGAAAUAAUGUGUUUGUUAGGCUAUUUAUUAUACAUGGAUGAAGCUGAAGAACUAUUGUCACAACAAAGGGAUCCAAAAGCAGUUAUUACAACUCAUCAAUCAAAUAAGCCACUGGAGUACCAUUCACGGUGCUAUAACCAGCCUAAAAGGCACAGUUUGAUCCGAAGUAAUGAACAGUUUCUUACCAUUACGGGAGAAUGACGAGAGACGUUAUGAACCAAGAGGGAAUACCUGGAGAGCGUAGAGCUGAGUCUCCUAAUGCUGAAGUGGAAGGGAGCUUAUAAAAAUGUUACAAAAGGAAUGACAGUGUUGACUAUGGACUUAUCAGCAUCAUGACAGGAAGAGGCUAUUGAAAGAAGCAACCACAUCAGAAAAUUGCAUACUUCUUUGGUAAAUGCUUUGUUUAAGCACAUGAUCAUGCUCUUACGAGUGCCUUGUGAACACCAUUUUUUGCCUCCUGGUAGCAGCAAGUGACAAAUGUCAACUCUUGGUGUACUUACCACAGGCUCGUCCUAGUAUGCCAUCUGCGUGGUUUGGCCCAUGCCCAAAGAAAAACAAUAACCACACCAUCACCUAUCAGAAAAUAAAAUUUGACCUAAAGUCAUCACAAAGCUUUCGACAGGCAUUAUGGCAACACAGAAUCAUAGCUUUUCAUGGGCAUAGCUUAAGGAAAAAAAAAAAACCAAUACCAAAUACCACCAGCAACAAAUAAAAGCAGCAGGGCACCACAUGGCACCUUCAGAUAUUAAAUAAAACCAAGAAACAAAGAAAAAAAAAAGGAACAAAAACUAACCAAGCCACAAAACCCACACCUCUGCCACAGUAACUGCAAAUGUUCUCAGAACGGACGGGAGAUGAUCUUUGACAUUCAUCCAGUGUAAUUUUACUACUUAAAUGGGUACAUUCUCAGAGAUUAUUGCUCGGCUGGAAAGAAAUUAGGUACAAUUCUGAAGUGCAGUUGUUAGGAGUUUGUUUUAUAUGUUUGUUGUUAAGGCACUGAAUCAUGUUACAGUCUCUUUGUAGGUAGCAGAAAUGCUGUGAUUUCAAACAUCCAAAAUUUCCCAUUACACACAAGGAUCUUAAUUAACACUAAAUGGGGAAUUCAUAUUUUAUGUUUAGUUGAUUAUAAUCUAAAGAUUUAUAUGAAUGAAUAUUUGAUUUAUAUGAAUAUGAAGAUUUAAAAACCCUAUUUUUAUAGCUUGAUUACUAUAAAACUCACUCCAGCUUUAUCAGUGUGCUUCUUAGGUUUUGUUGUAGUUGUUCCAAAUUAAGCAUUAUCUUACAUGAGGAGUAAGCUGCAUUGUUAGUCUCAAAUCCAUUUUACAAAUAGUUACAAUUGCAUCUUAAGAAGGUAAAGAAUAUUUUUGUAGGUGUCUCCACUUUUCAGUACUGUGUAUAUCCUUCUGUAUGCUUGCUAAUCUCUACCUUAGCUAUCAUCUGUUUUGUCUUGCUCUCAAAAAGAAAUUUGCUUUUUUUUUUUACUAAGAAUUAGGUUUUUUUUCCCCUCACCCCCUUUCUACCCCACUGGCUGCUUUCAAGUUUUCUUUUAGGAGGGGCUUCACUUUGUGUUAUCCUUACAUAUAAAAAUUCCCAGUAAGUAUUUUCAGAGAUCUGUGAGGUCAUAUUAGCCUGGAUUCCCUUCAUGCUUCUCUGGUGGAGGUAUAUUUGUUAUUUUGUCACCUAUCGGAGGCCCUGAUAUAGCUGCAGGUGACUGGGAAGGGACAUCCUUCCUUUGUAGCAGUAAAAUACUCACAGCCUCCUUUAUCACAGAACGUGCACCCUGCAACAGCCUCUAAGGGAAUGAAAGCAGAAAAAUGCUGCAGCUGCCAUGAAGAGGCAAAAAUUGAAACUAGCUCCAGAUUUAAAUUUCAGAGAGAUUCAAACAUCAGCAUUCUCAGCACUACCUUUUCAAAAAUACAACGCAGGUAAGAGCUCACAUUUCAAAAAGUUCAAGUGUUUUUCAGUUUAGAGUUUGGGCUCCAGCCUUCUGAGAGACCUUGGCUUUGUAACAUCCCAAAAUAUAGUUCAGUCAAAAAUAACAUUCUCCUAAUGGAAAGUUUUCUCCCAUUUCUUCACUUGAUAAAGCUGGUCAAAACAAGCCCUAUUUUGCCUACAGGAUUCAUUACUGUGUUAUAGCUCUUUAUAUUAGACUAGGUUUUCAAGGUAGCCCUUGGAGAGACUGUAUUUCUACUUUGUAAUGAUUUUACCAUAGGAAAAGUUUAUCUAGAAAGAUGCCUGGAAAACAGUGAGGCCACCAGGGAUUUUUUUUUUUUUUUUUUUAAGAAUCUAACUCCCCCUUAUAGAGUAAUCAGAGGGAUGUGUUAAGCUUGCUGCAUUCUCUUUCAAUCUUUUGUUGGAGUAUUGCAUUAUCAAGUUGCUUGCACUGUGAGAGGUUCAAGCAGUUGGGUUAGUGCAAAGCACAGUGACCAAGCACAAUGAAUGCAAGUCAGAAAUAAAACUAGGUUUUGGAGUGCAGAGCGACUGAUCUCUCACUUUGUCACUCAAGCAGAUGUUGCCAAAGGUGAGGAGCAAUUUUUUUUUCUUGAAUUUAACUUGGCUGCCAAAUCAUGUACCACCUGAAUAGCCAGACACUGCACAGCUACUGGUUAGAUGCUUUUCAAACCUGUUUUCUGCCUCAGGGCUAUCAGAUGUGCAGCUGAGGUAAAGAUUUUUCCAUUGUCAUUCUCCUUAACUUGAGGACAUACUGCUCACUGCAGUAAGUAAAUGGUUGGGCUGCUUUAGAUCAUGAGAGGGCUUAUUUAAUUUAGGUGUUUAACAGUAUUAUUCCCCUCUUUCCUCUAUUUUUAAGGGGAGUUCUGCCCAGUAUAGGAACAAGCUACUAAUGAGCAGAGGAGAACUUCAUCCCAGAAGAUAGUUAUUAGAAAUCAAGGUGGAGGUAAAUGUAGCUUGAAAGAUCCAACCAAAACUGUCUGCCAAACAUACUGCUUUUUGAUAAUUGUGGCCUUCCAUAUACUCCAGCUACCUUUUAAUCAGUGGGAAUUUGUUUACAGGAGAAUUCUGAGAUCUGGUAACUUUCCUAUCCCUUUUCCAGGCUAUCUGUUUACCUUCUGGUAUCUCAGAAGCAUUCAGCAAAUAAGUCUCCAGAAAGACUGUUUGAGAACAGCUCCUACACAAGACUGUAACAAUAUAAGGAGGUGCACUUCAGAGUAGAAAUAUGAACCCUAAUAAUAGGUUUUUACUUAACAAUAUAAUCUCAUUUUAGAAUUCUUGGGUUUGCCUCCUUCCAAAACAGCUGUGCUGUCUUGAUAAGAUUUUUAGGUUAUAAACAAGCAAAUAAAUAUCAGAAAUUGGACUUGUACAUGAAUAGGACCUAACAUUAUUAUUUCCACUUCCUUCCCUUCCCCCCCCCCAACCCCCCCAAGUAUUUUCAUAGUCACACAUUUUCCUGUAAAGUGUAACCAUUACUGACCCCAUUACUAACAAAUCUCUCAGAAAACCCCACUUAAUAGGGAGAAACAUGAAAACCUCAAGAAACAAAAGGUAUCUGAUUUCCAAACAGAAUGCCUAUUUAAGACCAAACCUCAUUAGGGACAAGUCCUCCAGGCAAACAUCCUCUCAUUAUUUAUUGUCAUGGUUUACUGCAGAUUCCUCCGUGUAAUUCACAGUUGGCUUUUAAAUAAAUCUCUCUGUAUGGUAAAUGUGAUAUUCCUUCAUUUAAGCAGCAGGGUUAUCUUAAAACUGAGCAAGACCAAAAUUUCAUAUUUCAAAACUCAUAAACAGCUUAGAGCAUGACAGUAAUGCAAUGACGAGAAGAAAAAGUAUGACUGACAACAUAUGGUUGAAGAGUUUGGUAGCAGUGGUUAUACAAUGUAAUUCAUUUCAUGAUAAUAUAAGUCAGACUGCAAAGCAAAAGCAAUUAGGAAAUAAGUGAUGAUAAUGAAGAAUUACUCAUGGUGAGGAACUUCUCUAUAGUGGAAGGAUGGUUCUGUGUUCUAAUCAACAGUUAAGGCCUUAAAGCCCUGGAUUUAAAGCUCAGUAUCCUAUCCUUGGUCCUGAUUUUUAGAGGGUCAGUUGGGCCCAAGAGUAUGAAAAGUUCUGAGGUACUCUCAUCUGUUGGUGAAAUUGGUCCACAACUCCUACAGCUCAAGUGAGCAUCUGGAAAUGGGCAGGAGACAGCUGGAAGCUGGAAAGCUUCUCUUUCUCCUAAGGCAUACUGUGGUUUCCUUGCUUAUCUUAUCCAGGAGAUGGAAGUCUGGGAGAUCUCCCUACAUACUUUAAUCACAUCAAAGGGUUAACUAUGAUUUUGCCUAAGAUGAAAAGUGCUUGACCAUGAAUUCCAAUUCUUAUUGCAAUAAGAUGCUGAGAAUGGUUAAAGGAGCCCGGAGUACCUCCAUAAUUUGCAUCUCUGAUUAGAACAGGGUGAAGUUCUCUUCAAGGAGAAAGUCCUCUGGUGUGAUCCAUUUUUCUCCUGUAGCUAAAAAUUCUUGGGCUGAUUCAGCACCUGGGCUGAUGAGUUGGCCCCUGGAAGCACUCACCAUGGUUGCUCUUGAGGAAGCUGGAGGGGCAGCGCAGCGGAAAGUUUCUCUCCUCACCAGAGGACAUGCACGCAGCCCAGUGCUUGCCAGGACAAUGCCUCCUCCAUCCCUUUCUUGGCUCAGAGCACAGCGUCUACCACUACUCAUAAAAAAUACUGUCUCUUAAAUUUCAUAUUUACCACUUUGCGUAACAGAUUUUCCUAAACAAACAGAAAGCUGAUCAGGAUAAAUACCAGAAUAAGUGAAAACAGUUGUUUUUAAUCUCAGUGUGUUGAAUGCAGAUAUUGGCGUGAACAGAUUGCCUUUUUUAGUACACCUAUUAUAGUGUCACACCCAUUCUUUGCUGAAUGCAUACCUAUGAGACAGUGUGUGUGUGUGUGUGUGUGUGUAAUAAAACCCCUGGAUUAUUAAGCAUUUUUUCUAUUCUGCUAUGUCAGUCCAAAUUCACUUUGAAUACAAGAAUGAUGGAAUUGUUCAAUAUAUUGUGUGCAGAAGGUUACGACCUCUGCAGUCAGCCCCUGAAACACCACUGCUGUCUUCUUACUUCUGGGGUAGCUGAAAUGAAUUACAAGGCAGAGUCAUAAAGCCAGAACAUUUUACUAAAGCUAAGACCUCUGAAUAUGCAGUAUUUAAGCAUUUUUGUCCUCUCUCUCGUUCCCAAAUUACUUAAAAUCUGUGUAAGAUUUCAAAGAUGAAAACCAAGCAUACUGUUUUCACUUUUUAUCUUGUUUUUGAACAAGGUUUCAAUUCAACAACAGCUCAAAUGGGUGAAUAGCCUUUUGCAUGUAAUAAAAAUACCACAAUUUCUUCAUCCUUUUGUGUACACGCAUGGAAAGAGACAUCUUAAAAUUGUUAUCAUACAUAUCAUCAAGUAGAAAGACUUGGGUAUGAUUGGUUUGAAUGCUGUGGAGGAUAUACCACACUGAGCCACUCUUGUAACCCAGCCCAAAGGAUGGGUGAAUGCUUAUUGUUUGAAGGGGACAGAAGGAAUACUGUCAGUGAAAAUCAAAGACAAAAGUAAAACUGCCUUCCUCUGCACGUGAAGACAGUUCUUGUUAGUGCACAGACUGACCCAGACAAAUUGGAACACCUAGUGGAAAGUUAUCAUCUCCCCUCUGCAUUUCCACAUUAAUUGAACAUAGGCAAGAGCUCCAAACAAUCAGUUACUUUUCUUCCACACACACAGCAUCAGAAGGACACUCAAAAGAUAACCGACAAGCUAAAAUUCAAGUUACUGAAAUUUAUGAUUGCUGGCUGUUAUUCAGUAAAGUAUUUUAACACCAAAAUUUUAAUAAAGCUGCCGUAAAUAUUCCGUGCCCAUGGUGCCAAGGUUCAGCAGAUUCCUCUGUUAACACAACAGGUCUAACCGAGGGAACUUGAAGACUUCUCUGGCAAGAUCCUCUGAACAGAUGCAACUUGAAUAAUCUUUUGAAAAAUAAAGCCCUAUUUCCCCAUGCCUCAAUGGUACAAGGCCUCAAGGAAAAUGCAGACACAGCAAAAGGCCUAAAAGCCCAAUCUUAACCUCAGCACGCUCAGGGAAGAGCACUCUGCCUCCAAUUUGGGGAAGUCCAGGCUGUCCCACUCACAAAACGUUCUCUUUGUUCUCCACAGGAAUCACCUUGUACUGCUGAUAACUCACUUCUUUCCAAGGGUUUCAGGUUUAGGAUUCCCUUUGAUGCUAGAUUCACUGCUGGGAACAGUAAACUACUCUAGCUUUGAUGGAGCUGCAAUUAUUGCCUAUUGUCAGCUCUUCCGUUGUUUCCUCUAAAACUCUUAUUUAUGUCACCAUUUCAUUUUGGAUAGGUUUCCGCCUUGUUCCUUUCUGAUUUCAAUAAUGCCAUUCAGGGAAGUUAUAAAUCAGACAGCCUGAGGAGCACAUAUCAUUUUGAUAUAAGAAAUACAACAUGUCCUCAUUCUUUUUGCUAUAACAUACACGACUGAAAUCGCAUCAGCCACACCGGCGGUCCUUUGUCAGCUCUGCCUCUGCCUGUGCUGUUGCUACUGGAGUGGCAGCUGCAGUGAGAAUCACGAGAGCACAGAAGCAGUCUGGUGUGGGGCCGAGGGGUGUCCUGUUCUGCACACGUGUUGGCGCCGACAUGCCCGAGGAUUUCAGCUGCUUUGGAGCAUUUAAGUGUUACAUCGGGAGCCUAGUCUGGUAAUGGUAACCUAAGCUACAAGCAGCAGGGAGGUAUUUGUGCUGUGCUUUGCUUAGAGAAGCAUUUCGAGCCUGUGACACUGUCUGACACUGACUGAUUAAGAUACAGGUACUGCGGCGCUGUCAGGAAAGAAGAAAGAGGACUUGCAGUGCUGUUGCUGCUCACGGAUCUCCAGCAGAGCAGCAGCAAGGCACCAGCACACAGCAGCACCGUGCUCCGCCACCUCUUCUGAGAAUUACUGCCUAGCCAACCCUGAAGCGAUUCAGUAUGCACCACAUUUCCAGCACAGCCUGCCCCUCCACACAGACUCUGAAGGCUAUAUACCACGGGUGAUCAGAGCCUCAUGACAGGGGAGGGGAUUGUGAUGGAAAGAGUCAAAGGAGCUUUGAGAAGGACAAAAAUCUGAACACACUAAUGAGUUUUAUCAGGAAACCAUUAGGAAGACUGCUGCUGCAGCAAACAAGACCAGAACCUAACAGGGAGAGAAAGAGAGCUACCAAGCUAUGCUACAGAUACAGACAGGUCUUCAUUUUCUCUAUGGCUUUAAAGACUGCCAUUUUUAAAAAGGAAGCAUUCAAAUCUCUCUCUGAAACUCCUUUUUCUGGGUAUCCCCAAAGCUCACUCUACACCAUUGGUGUGAACUGUGAAAGGGAUUGCUUUGCCAGGCAAAGACAUUUAUCACUUGUGUAUUCUGUCUUGAGGAUAGGCUUUUCAGUUUUACUUAAAUUCUUGGGGCUUUCCCUGGUAGAAGAGACAGGUUCCCCUCCCCAUACCUUCUCUUGGCAAGUGAUGAAGUGUUAUUUUCUGAGGGUGAUGCUGAAGCACUCAGAAACAGUCACACAAGUUUUUAUCCAGGGUGUCCAGACUUAGGAAUGCCCUUCAGCUCAGAUCUACAUUUUCUGCCUUUUGGGAUCACCUCUCCUCCUUAUAGCUUGUGCUGGCAGGAAUACAAGCAACAAAAAGAAGUCUCAGCUGUCAUCAGAAACCUGAGAUCACUUCAGACUAUAGUUCUCAUUUGUGUGCCAAACCAGGUGCGUUUGUCGUCUUUGUGGUGCAAGUGUCCUUGUCCUCCAUGAGGCAGAGGCUGGAGGAGACUGGAAGGAUUCUGCUCUUCCUUGCACCAGGAAGGAGGCUCCUGGAAGCCCAGGAGCCUCUGUUCUCCAUUACAACUGUGCUGUUUUCAUCUUGGCUUUCUCAAUAAAUAUUUAGUGGACAAUUCACAUUUUCCCUCCUGCUCUGACUAACAGAGUUGAUUAUUGCUAGGGUCAGGUGAUUACAUGAGCUACUUAAUAUUCACAGGCAGCAGUAGGAAAUAAGUACAAACCCCAUCUCCUCAGCUUUAAUUACAAUAUCAGUGUUAUCAAAUUCCAUGUGGAUACACCUCCCAAAUCAGCUCCAAACAAUUUCAGAUGCGUAUACUAACAAGAUCCACAACAUCUUUAACUCCUGAUCUUCUGUCAUUACAAUAUAAUUACUCUAAUGCAUCUUUACUGCACAACACCCAUCGAAAAUAAGAACCGUUGAGUAUACCAUGUAAUUAUAGAAUAAAGAUGUUAAUGUAAGCUUCCAGCUUAAAGUGACUCUCAGCAUUUUUCUAGUUCCAUUAUUCAACAUUCAUUGGCAACUUGACUCCAACCUGCUCCCCUUCCUCUGUGUUUUCAUGACAUACUUAUGCAAUUCUGGCACUGCAGUGUCCCAGGUAGCAUUGAAACCCCAAUAGAAAUACUGCUUAAGAUUCAAUAAGGUGGCAAUAAAGUGGCCAAGGCUUUUUGAUUUUAGCUCUGGGGAUAGAGGUGAGAAAUAGAGAAAGGUGAGUCAGGGAAGAGACAAUGCAGUUUGCACCUUGCUGAGCUAUGGGUCAGUCUGGGCCUUGUGUAAACAUGACAGAAGAGGUUAGGAGAGAGAUGAUAGAGAACUGGUAUUGGCUAAUUAAGAUAGGGAAUAACCUUAAUUAAAUGCUGACAGAGGAAGAAACAAAAGUCAACUAGUUAGGGAGAACAGGAUAAGCUUCAGCUGGCCUUUUGGCAAGGAGAAAUGUCUGUAUUUCAGAAGACAAAGCAUAAGCCAGUGGAAUAACUGAGUCCAAGCCAUAAGGAUUACCUCUCCUAACUAUAGCUCUGCAAGCAAACAGAAAGACAAAUAAGAACUCUCUGGUGUGUUUGAUUUCCAGGAAUUGACUAAGAUAGGAAAGAACAAGAUGGAUAAUACAGAAAGUUUUGGAGAAGAAGCAUUCCUCCUCUGAAAGGUACUUCAGACCAAAGCGUGCCCUGGUACAAAGGCCUCAUAGGAGGACCCCAGUUACAGAACAUUUAACAGUUCCAGUAUAAACCAUGAACUACCACCAAUUAACUGCCAGCCAUUAUCAGCUUCCCACUGCAGGC